rnacentral:rRNA from 1 species
AGCGAACGCUGGCGGCAGGCCUAACACAUGCAAGUCGAACGGAUCCUUCGGGAUUAGUGGCGGACGGGUGAGUAACACGUGGGAACGUGCCCUUUGGUUCGGAACAACUCAGGGAAACUUGAGCUAAUACCGGAUGUGCCUUUCGGGGGAAAGAUUUAUCGCCAUUGGAGCGGCCCGCGUCUGAUUAGCUAGUUGGUGAGGUAAAGGCUCACCAAGGCGACGAUCAGUAGCUGGUCUGAGAGGAUGAUCAGCCACAUUGGGACUGAGACGCGGCCCAAACUCCUACGGGAGGCAGCAGUGGGGAAUCUUGCGCAAUGGGCGAAAGCCUGACGCAGCCAUGCCGCGUGAAUGAUGAAGGUCUUAGGAUUGUAAAAUUCUUUCACCGGGGACGAUAAUGACGGUACCCGGAGAAGAAGCCCCGGCUAACUUCGUGCCAGCAGCCGCGGUAACAC